rnacentral:rRNA from 1 species
CCUACGGGAGGCAGCAGUGGGGGAUAUUGCACAAUGGGGGAAACCCUGAUGCAGCGACGCCGCGUGGGUGAAGAAGCGCCUCGGCGCGUAAAGCCCUGUCAGCAGGGAAGAAAAUGACGGUACCUGAAGAAGAAGCCCCGGCUAACUACGUGCCAGACGCCGCGGUAAUACGUAGGGGGCAAGCGUUAUCCGGGUUUACUGGGUGUAGAGGGGGCGCAGGCGGUGAUGCGAGCCAGGAGUGAAAGCCCGGGGCCCAACCCCGGGCCUGCUCUUGAAACUGCGUGGCUGGAGUGUAGGAGGGGCAGGCGGAAUGCCUGGUGUAGCGAGGAAAUGCGUAGAUAGCAGGAGGAACACCGGUGGCGAAGGCGGCCUGCUGGAC